UCCGCCCCAUGGGACACGACGGGAGAGGGCGGAGAGAAGCUUUUCUCCUGCUGGAACUGAUCAAACCAGCUUUGGGAGUGAUCAGGGACUAACCCCUCAGGGCGCAGAGAUUACAAGGCAAAACCCAGCCCCCGCCCCCCCGCACCCUCCUCCAGUGCUGGUGGGGUUUGUGUCUCUUGGGGUUUGGGGGCUGCCCGAGGCCCUGGUCUGUUUUCCCUGCAGGAUUCACAUCUCAGCCACACCCGUGUCAUACUGGAGUCACUGCUGGCUCUGGCAGAGGGGAGUGUGGAUGGGCCACUGGGCUCAGCCUCUGCCUGCCUGUCCCUGGGGGCUGCUGCAGGAGCCCAGGGCAGCUCGUUCUUCAGGCUGAGGAAUCACGUCCACAUUUUGCUCCAGAUGGGACCAUCUUCCAGAAGACAGGGAAGGGAAAUGGCUGUGAUGGAGCCAGCUCAGAUGCCGGUGACCUUCGAGGAGGUGGCUGUGUAUUUCACCCAGGGGCAGGGG